UACGUAGGGGGCAAGCGUUAUCCGGAUUCAUUGGGCGUAAAGAGCGCGUAGGCGGAUUGUUAAGCGCGAUGUGAAAACUGGGGGCUCAACCCGCAGCCUGCAUCGCGAACUGGCAGUCUUGAGUCUGGUAGAGGAGUGUGGAAUUCCCAGUGUAGCGGUGAAAUGCGCAGAUAUUGGGAGGAACACCAGUGGCGAAGGCGGCACUCUGGGCCACGACUGACGCUGAGGCGCGAAAGCUAGGGGAGCGAAC
rnacentral:rRNA from 1 species